rnacentral:rRNA from 1 species
CCUACGGUAGGCAGCAGUGGGGAAUAUUGCACAAUGGGGGAAACCCUGAUGCAGCGACGCCGCGUGAGUGAAGAAGUAUUUCGGUAUGUAAAGCUCUAUCAGCAGGGAAGAAAAUGACGGUACCUGACUAAGAAGCCCCGGCUAACUACGUGCCAGCAGCCGCGGUAAUACGUAGGGGGCAAGCGUUAUCCGGAUUUACUGGGUGUAAAGGGAGCGUAGACGGCCAGACAAGUCAGAAGUGAAAGCCCGGGGCUCAACCCCGGGACUGCUUUGGAAACUGCCGGGCUGGAGUGCAGGAGAGGUAAGCGGAAUUCCUAGUGUAGCGGUGAAAUGCGUAGAUAUUAGGAGGAACACCAGUGGCGAAGGCGGCUUACUGGACUGUAACUGACGUUGAGGCUCGAAAGCGUGGGGAGCAAACAGGAUUAGAUACCCGAGUAGUC